UACGUAGGGGGCGAGCGUUGUCCGGAUUCAUUGGGCGUAAAGAGCUCGUAGGCGGCUUGGCAAGUCGGAUGUGAAAACUCCAGGCUCAACCUGGAGCCGCCAUUCGAUACUGCUAUGGCUAGAGUCCGGUAGGGGAGUGUGGAAUUCCCGGUGUAGCGGUGAAAUGCGCAGAUAUCGGGAGGAACACCGAUGGCGAAGGCGGGACUCUGGGCCGAUACUGACGCUGAGGAGCGAAAGCGUGGGGAGCAAACAGG
rnacentral:rRNA from 1 species